rnacentral:rRNA from 2 species
UACGGGGUGCCAGCAGGCGCGAAACCUUUACACUGCACGACAGUGCGAUAGGGGGAUCCCAAGUGCACAGGCAUAGCGCCUGUGCUUUUCGGUACCCUAAGGCGGUACCAGAAUAAGGGCUGGGCAAGACCGGUGCCAGCCGCCGCGGUAAUACCGGCAGCCCAAGUGAUGGCCGAUCUUAUUGGGCCUAAAGCGUCCGUAGCUGGCCACGCAAGUCCAUCGGGAAAUCCACCUGCCCAACAGGUGGACGCCCGGUAGAAACUGCGUGGCUUGGGACCGGAAGGCGCGACGGGUACGUCCGGGGUAGGAGUGAAAUCCCGUAAUCCUGGACGGACCGCCGAUGGCGAAAGCACGUCGCGAGAACGGAUCCGACAGUGAGGGACGAAAGCCAGGGUCUCGAACCGGAUUAGAUACCCGGGUAGUCCUGGCCGUAAACAAUGUCUGCUAGGUGUGGCUCCCACUACGAGUGGGUGCUGUGCCGCAGGGAAGCCGCUAAGCAGACCGCCUGGGAAGUACCUCCUCAAGGAUGAAACUUAAAGGAAAUUGGCGGGGGAGCACUAUAUUU